rnacentral:rRNA from 1 species
AUAGCUUGACACUGAACAUUGAGCCUUGAUGUGUAGGAUAGGUGGGAGGCUUUGAAGCGUGGACGCCAGUCUGCGUGGAGCCAACCUUGAAAUACCACCCUUUAAUGUUUGAUGUUCUAACGUUGGCCCCUUACCGGGGUUGCGGACAGUGUCUGGUGGGUAGUUUGACUGGGGCGGUCUCCUCCCAAAGCGUAACGGAGGAGCACGAAGGUUAGCUAAUCCUGGUCGGACAUCAGGAGGUUAGUGCAAUGGCAUAAGCUAGCUUGACUGCGAGCGUGACGGCGCGAGCAGGUGCGAAAGCAGGUCAUAGUGAUCCGGUGGUUCUGAAUGGAAGGGCCAUCGCUCAACGGAUAAAAGGUACUCCGGGGAUAACAGGCUGAUACCGCCCAAGAGUUCAUAUCGACGGCGGUGUUUGGCACCUCGAUGUCGGCUCAUCACAUCCUGGGGCUGAAGUAGGUCCCAAGGGUAUGGCUGUUCGCCAUUUAAAGUGGUACGCGAGCUGGGUUUAGAACGUCGUGAGACAGUUCGGUCCCUAUCUGCCGUGGGCGCUGGAGAAUUGAGGGGGGCUGCUCCUAGUACGAGAGGACCGGAGUGGACGCAUCACUGGUGUUCGGGUUGUCAUGCCAAUGGCACUGCCCGGUAGCUAAAUGCGGAAGAGAUAAGUGCUGAAAGCAUCUAAGCACGAAACUUGCCCCGAGAUGAGUUCUCCCUGAGACUU